rfam:Anopheles christyi strain ACHKN1017 cont1.511, whole genome shotgun sequence.
GCCCGGAUAGCUCAGUCGGUAGAGCGUUGGACUUUUAAUCCAACGGUCUGGGGUUCAAGUCCCCAUUCGGGCG